rnacentral:ncRNA from 1 species
UACCCAUCCAGAGCGGCCGAGAGAUCUGGCUCGUGGAAGCCGCAGCAACCGGGGUGACACCGGUGCUAACGCCAGAACCGAUGGAAA